GGCCGCAUUGUGUAGGAGUUAUCACGUCGGAUUCUGAUUCCGGAAACCUGGGUGCGAGUCCCAGUGUGGCCU
rfam:Lodderomyces elongisporus NRRL YB-4239 supercont1.5 genomic scaffold, whole genome shotgun sequence.